rnacentral:rRNA from 1 species
UACGUAGGUGGCAAGCGUUGUCCGGAAUUACUGGGCGUAAAGGGCGUGUAGGCGGGCUAUUAAGUCAGAUGUGAAAUAUCCGGGCUCAACCUGGAGGGUGCAUCUGAUACUGGAAGCCUUGAGUGCAGGAGAGGACAGUGGAAUUCCUAGUGUAGCGGUGAAAUGCGUAGAUAUUAGGAGGAACACCAGUGGCGAAGGCGGCUGUCUGGACUGUAACUGACGCUGAGGCGCGAAAGCGUGGGGAGCAAACAGGAUUAGAUACCCCCGUAGUCC